AAUGAACGUUGGCGGCGUGGAUUAGGCAUGCAAGUCGCGCGUGAAGCGUAGCAAUACGUGGAAAGCGGCGUAAGGGAGAGUAAUCCAUGGUUAGCUACCCUCGGGACUGGGAUAGCGGCGGGAAACUGCCGGUAAUACCAGAUGACAUCUUCGGAUCAAAGGUGUGAAUCCGCCCGGGGAGGCGACCAUGUCCUAUCAGCUUGUUGGCGGGGUAACGGCCCACCAAGGCUAAGACGGGAUGGGGCGUGAGAGCGUGCCCCCCACUCACUGGG
rnacentral:rRNA from 1 species